ensembl:lncRNA
UGUGGGCCUCAACCCUGAUGCCCACACCUCUCCUCAGUGCACUGAGCAGCAGAAAGCAAGAGAGGGAAAGGGAAGAGCAUCCUUGUGAGCUAAAGGAGAAUGCACAACAUGAAGGCGCCGCCGCCAUUACAGAAAGGACAGAUGCAAGCAAAGCAGUGCUUAUGGACUACGCUGCCGUCCUUCGACCGUUGAUCCGCUCAAAGACGACCUCUAAAGAUGGCGCGCUGUGCCCUGGUCCUUGACAUUGUUGAUCUUGAGGAACAAAACCAGUGUGUCUGCCUCAAGGUAUGAGCGCGCCUGCAGGAAGGAGGGUCACAGGAGUCAACCUGUGAGGAGGUGGUUGGACUGGGGUACGGGGGAGAUGGGGCGACGGGGGUUACGGCCUGAAGCUUGCCCGUAGCUACACCUCCGGCAGACAGCAGGUGCACUACUUUAUCUCCGAUGCAUUUACACAGACUCAGACUUCCCUCUCCUCCACACAUUCUGACCACAUACCUGCUUCUUAUCUCUCUCUCUCCCGACGCAAAGAGUCUUAUGCCCGUUGUGAUCCAUGAGGCUCUCAUGCAAAAAAAUGCCUAAUGUGGGACAGGGGGUGGUGGGAACUGCCAGAGUGAGAAGGUCCUCCCAGCAGCAGCCACAGUUCAAGGUAAAGCCUUCUUAAGGCCCAGGAGGCUGUGCAGCCCUUGCAGCCCUGAGGCAAAGGCAGCGCUGGAUGUCCCAACGACUGACCCCCACAUCAGUAGGAACGCCAUAUCAUUACGCCAUUAUCCCGUUGUGCAAUCCUCAAAGAGAAGAACGCCCUCUGAUGGAUCCUAGCGCGUUUCCCAGGCGGACCAGAGAACUGAGCGAGUGGUGUGGCGCCGUGAACCCCCCCCCCCCCUAUGGCAUGCCGCCAGCUCCCCUCUUCCCCUCCCUCAAAGGGUCCGAGCAGAGUGCGCCGGGCGGGCCGUGUGGGCGGGCUCGAUGCAGGGAUCAUCCCGGGUCAGGGCCCUCCCCUGUAAUCAGAUGUUUAACUGGCCAGGAGGAAGAGGGCCAAGCGAGAGCAUCUCAACCAGCACCUUGCCAAAGGUCUCCUGUUCACUUAGCCACCGGGGUCUCCACGAGCCCGCCCCGCCGCCUGCCAAUAGGCAUUAGGGAGGAUUUAGUAAUUAAGUGAUAGGCUGAGGACUAAAUUGGGUGUUUGUGGGCUGGCGCGCCACCCCCAGGUCCCUACAGCCAUGCAGAUAGGGGAUUCUAAUUGCCAGGGAUAUUGAUCAGCCCUGCGAGGGGGCUGCGCGGGGAUCUGGCGGGCCCAUCGAUUAGCUGUUACUGCGGACCCGCUUGUCAAUAGACGAGGGAGGUGAGCAAUGGAGGCAGGGCUCAGGGCUUUUUUCCCACACUGCUCUCCUCGACCACAAGCCGCGGUUGUUCACACGCGCACGCGGUGACACACGCGGCAUCCUGUUGUGUUUUUUUUAAAGCGUGCCAUUAUUAUGCGCUCGCCUGGACGUACUACUACCGCCGCGCACACACACACUUCCAGACACACACACACACAUACACACACGGGGAAACACAUGGGUUGGACUUGUCGAGCAUGACUUACCGCCUGAGUAGACCACCCUCACCAAACAGCCUUACGAGGCUAAAGGUGAGGCCCAGGAGCAAGAUCAACACCUGUGGAGGAACACCUGUGGCUUGGGUCCUUCCCAUCACCUCCUGGUAGAUACUGAGGAUUAGAGUGGUCUGUUCUGGCUGGAAUAUCAUUAGCUGCUCCACUAAGCAGUGAAUAGACCCUGGUCAGCUGCAGCCCUCAUGCAAAUUUGCUGUUAAAACACAA